rnacentral:rRNA from 1 species
GAUGAACGCUAGCUAUAGGCUUAACACAUGCAAGUCGAGGGGAAACGGCAUUAUGUGCUUGCACAUUCUGGACGUCGACCGGCGCACGGGUGAGUAUCGCGUAUCCAACCUUCCCUCCACUCGGGGAUACCCCGUUGAAAGACGGCCUAAUACCCGAUGUUGUCCACAUAUGGCAUCUGACGUGGACCAAAGAUUCAUCGGUGGAGGAUGGGGAUGCGUCUGAUUAGCUUGUUGGUGCGGGUAACGGCCCACCAAGGCGACGAUCAGUAGGGGUUCUGAGAGGAAGGUCCCCCACAUUGGAACUGAGACACGGUCCAAACUCCUACGGGAGGCAGCAGUGAGGAAUAUUGGUCAAUGGACGUAAGUCUGAACCAGCCAAGUAGCGUGCAGGAUUGACGGCCCUAUGGGUUGUAAACUGCUUUUGUUGGGGAGUAAAGUGAGGCACGCGUGCCUUUUUGCAUUUACCCUUCGAAUAAGGACCGGCUAAUUCCGUGCCAGCAGCCGCGGUAAUACGGAAGGUCCAGGCGUUAUCCGGAUUUAUUGGGUUUAAAGGGAGUGUAGGCGGUCUGUUAAGCGUGUUGUGAAAUUUAGGUGCUCAACAUUUAACUUGCAGCGCGAACUGGCGGACUUGAGUGCACGCAACGUAUGCGGAAUUCAUGGUGUAGCGGUGAAAUGCUUAGAUAUCAUGACGAACUCCGAUUGCGAAGGCAGCGUACGGGAGUGUUACUGACGCUUAAGCUCGAAGGUGCGGGUAUCGAACAGG